CCUUUUUCUCUGUGAAGAUCUAGUUUUCGCUAUAGCUGCCUUUGGUUUCAGUGAUUCAAUUUUUGCUUCCUCUUUUGGCUCGUUGUCCGGAGUUGUAGGUACUUCAGAUAUCUUUUGCCUUUUUCUCUGUGAAGAUCUAGUUUUCGCUAUAGCUGCCUUUGGUUUCAGAGUUUCAAUUUUUGCUUCCUCUUUUGGCUUGGAGUCCGAAGUUGUAGGUACUUCAGAUAUCUUUUGCAUUUUUCUCUGUGAAGAUCUAGUUUUCGCUAUAGCUGCCUUUGGUUUCAGUGAUUCAAUUUUUGCUUCCUCUUUUGGCUCGUUGUCCGGAGUUGUAGGUACUUCAGAUAUCUUUUGCCUUUUUCUCUGUGAAGAUCUAGUUUUCGCUAUAGCUGCCUUUGGUUUCAGUGAUUCAAUUUUUGCUUCCUCUUUUGGCUGGGAGUCCGGAGUUGUAGGUACUUCAGACAUCUUUUCCAUUUUUCUCUGUGAAGAUCUAGUUUUCGCUAUAGCUGCCUUUGGUUUCAGUGAUUCAAUUUUUGCUUCCUCUUUUGGCUCAGAGUCUGGAGUUGUAG
rnacentral:lncRNA from 1 species